rnacentral:rRNA from 1 species
AGAGUUUGAUCAUGGCUCAGAAUCGACGCUGGCGGCGUGCCUAACACAUGCAAGUCGAACGAGAAAGUGGAGCAAUCCAUGAGUAAAGUGGCGACCGGGUGAGUAACACGUGACUAACCUACCUUUUAGUGGGGGAUAACCUCGGGAAACCGAGGCUAAUACCGCAUAACAUCGCAAGAUCAAAGCAGCAAUGCGCUGGAAGAGGGGGUCGCGGCUGAUUAGCUAGUUGGCAGGGUAAUGGCCCACCAAGGCGAAGAUCGGUAUCCGGCCUGAGAGGGCGCACGGACACACUGGAACUGAAACACGGUCCAGACUCCUACGGGAGGCAGCAGUGGGGAAUUUUGCGCAAUGGGGGAAACCCUGACGCAGCAACGCCGCGUGGAGGAUGAAGCCCCUUGGGGCGUAAACUCCUUUCGACCAAGACGAUAAUGACGGUACUGGUGGAAGAAGCACCGGCUAACUCUGUGCCAGCAGCCGCGGUAAUACAGAGGGUGCGAGCGUUGUUCGGAAUUAUUGGGCGUAAAGGGCGCGUAGGCGGUGCCGCAAGUCACCUGUGAAAUCCCCGGGCUUAACCCGGGGCCUGCAGGCGAAACUGUGGUGCUGGAGUAUGGGAGAGGUGCGUGGAAUUCCCGGU